rnacentral:rRNA from 1 species
UGGGGAAUUUUGGACAAUGGGCGCAAGCCUGAUCCAGCAAUGCCGCGUGCAGGAUGAAGGCCUUCGGGUUGUAAACUGCUUUUGUACGGAACGAAACGGCUCUGUCUAAUACAUGGGGCUAAUGACGGUACCGUAAGAAUAAGCACCGGCUAACUACGUGCCAGCAGCCACGGUAAUACGUCGGGUGCGAGCGUUAAUCGGAAUUACUGGGCGUAAAGCGUGCGCAGGCGGUUAUAUAAGACAGAUGUGAAAUCCCCGGGCUCAACCUGGGAACUGCAUUUGUGACUGUAUAGCUAGAGUACGGCAGAGGGGGAUGGAAUUCCGCGUGUAGCAGUGAAACGCGUAGAUAUGCGGAGGAACACCGAUGGCGAAGGCAAUCCCCUGGGCCUGUACUGACGCUCAUGCACGAAAGCGUGGGGAGCAAACA